CCUGAAUGGUGGGCGGUGAAACAGAGAGCUUAGCAUGGGUCUCUGACUCUGCCUCCCACAG
ensembl:miRNA Mir6952 microRNA 6952